GCCGAAAUAGCUCAGUUGGGAGAGCGUUAGACUGAAGGUCUUAAAGGUCCCUGGUUCGAUCCCGGGUUUCGGCA